CAGAAGGCAUCUCAAAAGCCAUCAAAUCAGGCUCUGACAUGUGACAUUUGGGCCCAUGGAAAAUCAGGUGAAUUUGACAAAGCACAUGAACAAACAUACAAGAUUUCCUGCCUGUUGUCAGGAUAGAAAUCACCUGGUAUCAGAUGCCAUGUCUCUCACAUUGUUCCCAGAGUGAAUCUCAAGUUGCAUACAUUAUGCCAAUAUAGACAAAACUGGUUGUUCUUAAA